rnacentral:rRNA from 1 species
CCUACGGGGGACAGCAGUCGAGAAUCAUUCACAAUGGGGGAAACCCUGAUGGUGCGACGCCGCGUGGGGGAAUGAAGGUCUUCGGAUUGUAAACCCCUGUCAUGUGGGAGCAAAUUAAAAAGAUAGUACCACACGAGGAAGAGACGGCUAACUCUGUGCCAGCAGCCGCGGUAAUACAGAGGUCUCAAGCGUUGUUCGGAAUCACUGGGCGUAAAGCGUGCGUAGGCUGUUUCGUAAGUUGUGUGUGAAAGGCGCGGGCUCAACCCGCGGACGGCACAUGAUACUGCGAGACUAGAGUAAUGGAGGGGAAACCGGAAUUCUCGGUGUAGCAGUGAAAUGCGUAGAUAUCGAGAGGAACACUCGUGGCGAAGGCGGGUUCCUGGACAUUAACUGACGCUGAGGCACGAAGGCCAGGGGAGCGAAAGGGAUUAGAUACCCUGGUAGUC